AGUGAACGCUGGCGGUAGGCCUAACACAUGCAAGUCGAACGGCAGCACAGUAAGAGCUUGCUCUUACGGGUGGCGAGUGGCGGACGGGUGAGGAAUACAUCGGAAUCUACUUUUUCGUGGGGGAUAACGUAGGGAAACUUACGCUAAUACCGCAUACGACCUACGGGUGAAAGCAGGGGAUCUUCGGACCUUGCGCGAUUGAAUGAGCCGAUGUCGGAUUAGCUAGUUGGCGGGGUAAAGGCCCACCAAGGCGACGAUCCGUAGCUGGUCUGAGAGGAUGAUCAGCCACACUGGAACUGAGACACGGUCUAGACUCCUACGGGAGGCAGCAGUGGGGAAUAUUGGACAAUGGGCGCAAGCCUGAUCCAGCCAUACCGCGUGGGUGAAGAAGGCCUUCGGGUUGUAAAGCCCUUUUGUUGGGAAAGAAAAGCAGCAGGUUAAUACCCCGCUGUUCUGACGGUACCCAAAGAAUAAGCACCGGCUAACCUCGUG
rnacentral:rRNA from 1 species